AUGUUGGAAAAGAUCGGGUUGCCGCCCAAGCCGUCGAUGCGAGGGGCGACCUGGGUGCUGGAUGCCUCCAACUGCCAGGGCUGCGCUGCUCAGUUCUCCUUGUUUACACGGAAGCAUCAUUGCCAAAGAUGUGGAGGCCUCUUUUGCAGCAGUUGCACCCAGCAGAGGAUGGUGUUACGUGGACAGGGUGACUCGCCUGUUCGAAUUUGUGAUCCUUGCAAAAAACUCGAGGAAGCAGCACGCUAUGAGUUGAGAUACGGACACAAAAGUAGAGCCGGAAAAGCUAACACAAAAACAGCUUCUAAACCAGAGGAUGAAAUACUUAGUGAACUUCUUGGAGGUGAUAGUGUGCAAGGUCAGCUUUCUCGUAGGGAAUCUCUGGGUUCUGAGGUUCCUGGGAGAACCGUAAGCACUGCCAGUGCAUCCAGUUCUGGUUCCAGAAAAGCCAGUAUGGAUGGGAAUGGUGAUGGAAGCCUUUCCACUGAAGCACAAAAUUAUGAACUCAACAACACUGCAUCCAUUUUUACUCCGGAAGAACUGCGUCAACAAGCAGUAGAGGAGAAGGGAAAGUACAAAAUACUGAAGUCAGAAGGAAAACCUGAGGAAGCACUGCGGGCGUUCAAGCAUGGUAAAGAGCUUGAGAGGCAAGCCGCAGCACUUGAAUUAGAAUUGAGAAAGAGCAGGAGAAUGGCGACAAAAGCUCCCAAUGUUAGUGCCGUUGUUGGUACCCAGAAGAUUGAGGAUUAUGAUGACGCUGUAACAAAAAAGGCUCCAAGUGGGAAAAGGGUUAGAAAAGAAAAGAAUGAUCUUGCUUCUGAACUCAAAGAUCUAGGCUGGUCAGAUGCAGAUCUUCAUGAUGAAACAAGGCCGACUGCUAUGAGUGUUGAAGGAGAGCUGUCACAGAUUCUUAGAGAAGUAGCACCAAAGACAUCAGAGGGCAAGAAAGCUGGUGGUAUUGACAAAUCCCAGGUUAAUGCUCUGAAGAGACAGGCCCUAGUGCUGAAGCGUGAAGGUAAACUUGCUGAAGCAAAGGAAGAGCUGAAGAAGGCUAAAAUUUUGGAAAGACAACUGGAAGAACAGGAGAUUCUGGGCGAAGCGGAAGAGUCUGAUGAUGACUUGGCUGCAAUUAUUCAUAACAUGGAUGAUGAUAACCAGGACGACAUAUUAUACGACAAUUCAAGACUACCUGCUAUCAAUUUCGAACAAAUUCUGGCUGUCUCUGAUGAUCUUAACUUCGAUGGCAAUUUCGAUGUUACAGACGAUGACAUCAAUGACCCAGCUAUGGCUGCUGCCCUAAAAUCAUUUGGUUGGAGUGAAGAUGAUGAUAACCAAAUGGACAGCCAUGCACCUGUUUCUUCUUUGAAUCGAGAGGCAGUAAAGGAACAAGUGCUUGCUCUGAAAAGAGAGGCUGUUUCUCACAAGAAAGCUGGUAAUGUUGCAGAGGCCAUGUCAUUGCUUAAAAAGGCAAAGCUACUUGAGAAGGAUUUGGAAACUGAACAGCCAGAGUCGGAGGUCCUUUCUCCAGGACAGAAAAUUACACACACUGAAGAUAUCAGAGUCACAGAGAUUAACACGCGUCGUGUAUCAGCACCGAAAAGUAAGCUUGCAAUUCAGAGGGAGCUGCUAGCUCUGAAAAAGAAGGCACUAGCAUUGAGAAGGGAAGGAAAGGUGGAUGAAGCCGAGGAAGAGUUGAAGAAAGGCAGUAUUCUUGAGAAGCAACUCGAAGAGCUUGAAAGCUCUUCCAGUAGACCCGUAGCCAGGGAAAACAUGGGCUUUAGUUCAAAGUCCCCACUUAAUGCUGAACCCCCUAGUCUGGAUUUUACUGAUGAAGGCUAUGAACCUGAGGUGACAGACAAUGACAUGCAGGAUCCAGCAUUGCUGUCUGUGUUGAAAAAUAUGGGAUGGGAAGAUGAUGAUAAUGAUUCUGUGAAAACAACAGAUAAGCCAUCGAAUCGUUCACCUGUAGUUGCUCAGAAGCCAAAGAAGAAUAAGGGUCAGAUUCAGAAGGAACUGCUUGCUAUCAAAAGGAAGGCUCUUGCAUUUAGGCGGGAAGGGAAGAACACAGAAGCUGAAGAGGAACUAGAGAAGGCGAAGGUCUUGGAGGAGCAACUGGCGGAGAUCGAAGAAUUGGCCAAUUCAACUGCUUCUCAAAAAGGUUCAGGUCCUGGUGAACAUGAGACUAUGGAAAAUAAAUAUGAUACUCAACAGGUCCCUAAUGUUCAUGCUACUGCAUCUUCAAUAAGACAUACAUUGAAGGAGGAUGUUUUGUUGCCAGUGAAUGCAGCUGAACUUGGUGCGUCAAUGGACACUGUAGCUAGUUCUGGGAGCAAACCACAAACUGAAACAGUCAUUUCUCAACCUGCCCGCAAAUCAAGUGAUGGAGCAUACUCAGCCUUCUCCAGGUCACCUAUUGCUGAUCAGUUGCAAACUGCAGAAGCAUCACAUUCACCUUCUGAUGUUGAUCAUAAAGAACCUCCGAAGCCACAUGGAGGCGACACAGUCAGAGAUGAUAUCUUACUCCAUAAGAGAAAAGCAGUUGCUUUUAAGAGAGAAGGGAAGUUGGCAGAAGCUAGAGAAGAAUUGAAACUAGCAAAACUCUUGGAGAAGCGUCUUGAAGCCCCUCAACAAGACAGUGAGGAUGGUGCACAUGAGUUAGCCACAUCAGCUGUGCAGCAGAGCAAUUCGAUCCAGCAGUCUGCCAGCGCCACCACCCACACCAACCCGUUGACCUAUGCCCCUCCAGCACAGGAGAACAAGUCGGUUGAGCCUCAAAAAGCAAUGUCCAGCCGAGACCGUCUCAGAAUCCAACGUGAAUCCCUCACUCACAAGCGCAACGCCCUCAAGUUGAGGAGAGAAGGAAAGACUGCGGAAGCAGAUGCGGAAUUCGAAUUGGCCAAGUCACUAGAGAGCCAACUGGAAGAGUCAGAUAGCCAGGGUUCAAACUCUGGAGGAAAGUCUGAAGCAAGUGACGCGUUUGUGGAAGAUCUUAUUGAUCCUCAAAUGAUGUCUGCCCUAAAAUCCAUUGGCUGGAGCGCAGCUGACCUGUCCACGCAAUCUCCGAGCCCUCAACCUUUGGUGAAAGCAGAGGCAAGGCCAACCGUCGCAGCUACAAGCAAGGCUCAGACAGAGAAAAGCCAGCUCGAGGAACAGAUAAAGGCUGAGAAACUGAAGGCCCUCACCUUGAAGCGCGAAGGGAAGCAGGCAGAGGCUCUGGAGGCCCUUCGCUCAGCAAAGCGCCUGGAGAAGAAGCUGGUCUCACUUAGCUAA
rnacentral:rRNA from 1 species